rnacentral:rRNA from 1 species
UUUAGCUAGUAAUAGUCAAGCAAAAAGCAUUUCAGUUUGACCCCCCGAAACCAAGUGAGCUACUCCAAGACAACCUAAAUCUAGGGUAAACCCGUCUCUGUGGCAAAAGAGUGGGAAGAGCUUUGAGUAGGGGUGACAGACCUACCGAACUUGGUAAUAGCUGGUUGCUUGAAAAAUGAAUAGGAGUUCCGCUUCUUAAAUUCUUACCCCCCUCGAUUUUAUCCCUUAUUAACAGACAGCAGAAUAUUAAGAAAAUUAAGAAAGUUAAUCAAAGGGGGUACAGCCCCUUUGAAACAAGGUACAACUUUUUUAGGAGGGUACAGAUCAUACUUCACUCAAGGAACUUAUGUCUUGGUGGGCCUAAAAGCAGCCAUCCAAUCAGAAAGCGUUAAAGCUCUAACAUUCCUUCCUCCCUAAUACUGAUAACAAGUCUUAGCCCCCUAACCAUAUCAAGCCGCUCCAUCAAAGCAUGGAAGUGAUUAUGCUAAAAUGAGUAAUAAGAGAAUACGUCUCUCUCCCCGCACAUGUGUAAAUCGGAGCGGACUCCCCACCGAAACUUAACGGGCCCAAACCAAGAGGGCAUUGAAUAGAAGACCCCACACUAGAAAACUAUCCAAAACCCCACCGUUAAUCCCACACUGGCGUGCUUUCAGGGAAAGGUUAAAAGGAAAAGAAGGAACUCGGCAAACACACUCCACAAGCCUCGCCUGUUUACCAAAAACAUCGCCUCUUGUAAACCUCACAUAAGAGGUCCCGCCUGCCCAGUGACCCCUGUUCAACGGCCGCGGUAUUUUAACCGCGCAAAGGUAGCGCAAUCACUUGUCCCUUAAAUGAGAACCAGUAUGAAUGGCUAGACGAGGGCUUAACUGUCUCCUUUUCCCAACCAAUGAAAUUGAUCUUCCCGUGCAGAAGCGGGAAUACUAACAUAAGACGAGAAGACCCUGCGGAGCUUCAGACACCAGAACAGAUCACGUCAAAUACCUUCCUCAAGCAGGUAACAACAAAUGAACCCUGUUCCAUGUCUUAGGUUGGGGCGACCACGGUGAACAGAAAAACCCCCGCGUGGACUGAGAGCAUAUACGUCACACUUACAAUACCGCUUCUCACAACCAUGAGCUACAGCUCUAAAUAACAGAACUUCUGACCAAAAAAAUGAUCCGGCAAUGCCGAUUAACGGACCAAGUUACCCCAGGGAUAACAGCGCAAUCCUCUUUAGGAGUCCAUAUCGACAAGAGGGUUUACGACCUCGAUGUUGGAUCAAGACAUCCUAAUGGUGCAACCGCUAUUAAGGGUUCGUUUGUUCAACGAUUAAAGUCU